AGAGUUUGAUCCUGGCUCAGGACGAACGCUGGCGGCAUGCCUAAUACAUGCAAGUCGAGCGGACUUGAAGAGAAGCUUGCUUCUCUGAUGGUUAGCGGCGGACGGGUGAGUAACACGUAGGCAACCUGCCCUCAAGUUUGGGACAACUACCGGAAACGGUAGCUAAUACCGAAUAGUUGUUUUCUUCGCCUGAAGAGAACUGGAAAGACGGAGCAAUCUGUCACUUGGGGAUGGGCCUGCGGCGCAUUAGCUAGUUGGUGAGGUAACGGCUCACCAAGGCGACGAUGCGUAGCCGACCUGAGAGGGUGAUCGGCCACACUGGGACUGAGACACGGCCCAGACUCCUACGGGAGGCAGCAGUAGGGAAUCUUCCGCAAUGGGCGAAAGCCUGACGGAGCAAUGCCGCGUGAGUGAUGAAGGUUUUCGGAUCGUAAAGCUCUGUUGCCAGGGAAGAACGCUUGGGAGAGUAACUGCUCUCAAGGUGACGGACCUGA
rnacentral:rRNA from 1 species